UUUUGGCUAACUGGGAAAAGUGCUCAUUCCCCAAAGUGGGCCAAUUGCGACUCUGCAAUCAUUUUCUUCCCGUCUACACUCAUGUGACCAGCAACUGGCUGACCUGUGAGGAGCCGGAGCUCAAGCAGGCUAUCAUCAAAGCCCUUGGUCCCAUGAUGAGCCUCCUGCUACACAAAGAGGAGUAUCAAGAUCAGAUAUUUGAACACCUCUCAUGGCUCCUUGAGCAAUAUAAUGAAAACACUGAUGUUUUUCACGUCACCAAGAGUCUGAGCCAGCUCUUGGAGGUCUCUGGUGAAUAUAAGAUCCCUCUCCCUGACGGGAAG